UUUUCCCCGCUCAAUAAGCAUAUUAGUAAGCAGAGGAACCCCAUCAAACUUGGAUUUUGUAAGUAGUUGCGAAUGAACACAAAUUUGAUCACUUUGGCAAUCUGUACACAUUGCUGUGUAACAAUUUGUAUACGUUGGCACAGUGCUAUCAAAGCUGCAUGCAAGUGUUUUUUGAAAGGAUACAACAUGGGAUGUGAUAUUCAUGUGUGUGUGCCUGCUUUGUCCACAGCCUGUGCUGUAUGAAUCACAUUUCUUGCAACUGAAAUGCUAAUGGCAUGGUAAAGUUCAUGUGACAUGACACAAGCUUGAGAUUCAUGAUGUGCAAGUACCAUGAGGGAAAUGUGAAAAGGACUUUGGAAAGAGAAUUAAAUAAAGCCUGCAUUUGCUGACAAUGAAAGCAAGUGUGGAUGUUCAUGUAAUUGUUACUGCAUCAAUCAAUGUUCAUCUUGGUUACUGCAUGCUUUAUAUUACAGCUCAGAACAUGAAGUGUGUGUAACAGCUCUGCUUUGAUUUUUCCCACAUGGGAUCAGUUGAAACAUUGUGAGAGCACUCUUCAGUUUCCUUAUGUACCCACCAGCUUUGUCCACUCGCGUGUUGGCACACAUGUAAUGAUGAUGUGUUUAUGCAAGAUACUUCUGUGCUCAACAACAUGCUGUGUCAAUCCUCACUUGACCCGUCUUGAAAGGGAAAGAGGGAAGGGGAUCCCGUUAAAGUCACCAUGAUAGCUUUCACACUACGGGAGACAAUCACCCUAUUUUAAUAUUUGCCCUAAUGUACUAACGAGAGUGCCUUUACAAUAAUUUGAUGCUUGCAUCGUUCAUUCUAAAAUAGACAAGACAGGGUUUCUAUUGAAUGAAUUAAAAAGACAAAGGUAUCUCAAAUAAUUACAUUCCACAAAAACUCCUCACACCACCCUCUGAAAUGAUAAUUUACCCCCAACCACCCUAAGGAUUCAGCAAAGUACCCCAAACCAUUACCACCUAUACUUUCCCCAGCGAACCGUAACACAGUUUGGCAUGGGACGAUGACCAGAGUAUUCAACCUAUCACUACUACCCAACCCCGAAUGAAAAGUCG
rnacentral:rRNA from 1 species